AGUUGCCAUGACUAUGGCUGCCAGGUACAAGAGACAAGUGAUUGGCUAUCAGUUCCACCUUGAGGCAGAUUCUUCCUUCCCUCCUCUUCCUUUUGCCACUAACUGCUAAAGUCCAGUGUGUGUGUGUGUGUGUGUGUGUGUGUGUGGCUAGAUACAGUGAUACUCAACUGAGAUGUCAGGCAGCAGGGACCUAGUGUACCAAGACCUGGGCGUAGGCUGACAUUCGGUAUAACGCCUUGACUUUCUGUGUUUCAGGGACAGCUGAUGGUUUGAGAAACAGGCAGGGCACUGCAUGAAAUGGUAGUGCCUAGGAACCCAAAGAGGAAGCAAGGAACGCUUCUCCCUGGGCAGAUGCCAGAUCUGUUGCCUCCAGGAUCUGCCCUUCCCCCUGCAAGUCUGACAGUCCCCUCCCCUUGCCUCUCAUAGCAGGACUUUGCAAACAGUCUCUCCGGAUGGACACGGGCGGGCCGCGGCUGCGCCUCCUCCCCGAACACUUUCCAUUCCCAGACUGAGCCUCAGCCAUGGCUCCUCAGGAAAAUUGGCCGAAAGAGACAUUUUCCAUGCUCUUGACUCCUCUGGCUGUGCUGGCACUCUCCAGCAUCUUCUCCCCCUAGCAAACCACGCCCAGAAAGAGAGGAUGCUGUCGGUCAACCUGCUGUUACUCAUCCACCGCUUAGUCUGAAGUCAUUUCAUCUCUCGGUGCCUCAAUGAUUUAAUCUAUGAAUAUUCAGGCUGAGGCCUGUGGUCUGC
rnacentral:lncRNA from 1 species